rnacentral:lncRNA from 1 species
UUCCUAUCCCUACCUUUCUUCUCUCCUUGUCUUCCUUAAUUCCCUUCCUAGGCUCUUGUCCUAAAAUCGGACUUCUCCUUACUAUUUUUAGACUUAUCCUAAUAAGAGAAGGAAGAAACUAAUUAUAAAAUAGAAAGAGAAUGUUAGAAAGAAAGAAGAAAUUAAAAAUCUGAAUGAAUCAAAUCCUCCUGGCGUACCCCCAUUAAAUACUUAGCGAUAGGUUGCCUUCGGGAAUGAUUCACGCUCCAUCCACACACCAUCUCAUGCCCCAAAAAUUUUUUUAUUCCCCCAACCAAUUUUUCAUUCCCAUCAAGAGCCUCAUGAUACAUGACAAGUAUCUGAAAAAAAUCUGAGAGAUGCUUCACGUAGAAGGACUCUUUGGAAUAUUUUUCUCGAUGUUUCUCUGAUGCGUCGCACAGCUUUCCAUGGUGUAAUUUUUCUCUACCACCCA